UGGAUAGCUCAGUGAGUGGAGCAUGAGACUCUUAAUCUCAGAGUUGUGGGUUUGAGCCCCACAUUGGGCAAAA